CAAACUUUUGAUGGCGACCGGCGCACGGGUGAGUAACACGUAUCCAACCUGCCUCAUACUCGGGGAUAGCCUUUCGAAAGAAAGAUUAAUACCCGAUGUUAUAGUCCUACCGCAUGAUGGGAUUAUUAAAGAAUUUCGGUAUGGGAUGGGGAUGCGUUCCAUUAGUUAAUUGGCGGGGUAACGGCCCACCAAGACAACGAUGGAUAGGGGUUCUGAGAGGAAGGUCCCCCACAUUGGAACUGAGACACGGUCCAAACUCCUACGGAAGGCAGCAG
rnacentral:rRNA from 1 species